CCUACGGGAGGCAGCAGUAGGGAAUAUUGCUCAAUGGGGGAAACCCUGAAGCAGCAACGCCGCGUGGAGGAUGAAGGUUUUCGGAUUGUAAACUCCUUUUGUUAGGGAAGAUAAUGACGGUAUCUAACUAAGAAGCCCCGGCUAACUCCGUGCCAGCAGCCGCGGUAAUACGGAGGGGGCAAGCGUUACCCGGAUUCACUGGGCGUAAAGAGCGCGUAGGCGGGAUAGCAAGUCAGAUGUGAAAUCCUAGGGCUCAACCAUAGAACUGCAUUGGAAACUGUCAGUCUAGAGUGUGGGAGAGGUAGGUGGAAGUCUUGGUGUAGCGGUAAAAUGCGUAGAGAUCAAGAGGAAUACUCAUUGCGAAGGCGACCUGCUAGAAGAUGACUGACGCUGAUGCGCGAAAGCGUGGGGAGCAAACAGGAUUAGAUACCCUUGUAGUC
rnacentral:rRNA from 1 species